rnacentral:rRNA from 1 species
UACGUAGGGCGCAAGCGUUGUCCGGAAUUAUUGGGCGUAAAGAGCUCGUAGGCGGCCUGUUGCGUCGGCUGUGAAAUCCCGAGGCUCAACCUCGGGUCUGCAGUCGAUACGAGCAAACUAGAGUGUUGCAGGGGAGACUGGAAUUCCUGGUGUAGCGGUGAAAUGCGCAGAUAUCAGGAGGAACACCGGUGGCGAAGGCGGGUCUCUGGGCAACAACUGACGCUGAGGAGCGAAAGCGUGGGGAGCGAACAGG